CAGCGGUCUACCUACAGGGGGCGGUGAGGUGUCAGCUGUAGUUACAGCGGUCUACCUGCAGGGGGCGGUGAGGAGUCAGCUGUAGUUACAGCGGUCUACCUGCAGGGGGCGGUGAGGUGUUAGCUGUAGUUACAGCGGUCUACCUGCAGGGGGCGGUGAGGUGUUAGCUGUAGUUACAGCGGUCUACCUGCAGGGGGCGGUGAGGAGUUACCUGCUGAGCGUUGGAGUGGUCGUUCUGAC